rnacentral:rRNA from 1 species
UACGGAGGGGGUUAGCGUUGUUCGGAAUGACUGGGCGUAAAGCGCGCGUAGGCGGACCAGCAAGUCAGGGGUGAAAGCCCGGGGCUCAACCCCGGAACUGCCUUUGAUACUGUUGGUCUGGAGUUCGAGAGAGGUGGGUGGAAUUCCGAGUGUAGAGGUGAAAUUCGUAGAUAUUCGGAAGAACACCAGUGGCGAAGGCGGCUCACUGGACCGGUAUUGACGCUGAGGUGCGAAAGCGUGGGGAGCAAACAGG